rnacentral:snRNA from 1 species
UGGAAGAUGCAGAAGUAAUUG